rnacentral:rRNA from 1 species
UACGUAGGGUGCAAGCGUUAAUCGGAAUUACUGGGCGUAAAGCGUGCGCAGGCGGCUUUGCAAGACAGAUGUGAAAUCCCCGGGCUUAACCUGGGAACUGCAUUUGUGACUGCAUGGCUGGAGUGCGGCAGAGGGGGAUGGAAUUCCGCGUGUAGCAGUGAAAUGCGUAGAUAUCUGGAGGAAUACCGGUGGCGAAGGCGGCAUCCUGGACCGGCAUUGACGCUGAUGAGCGAAAGCUAGGGGAGCAAACGGG